rnacentral:rRNA from 1 species
CUUUAAGUGGCGGACGGGUGAGUAACACGUGAGAAUUUACCUUUAGGAGGGGGAUAACAAUUGGAAACGAUUGCUAAUACCCCAUAUGCUUGAGAGUGAAAUAGAUUUAUCUGCCUAGAGAAAAGCUCGCGGCUGAUUAGCUAGUUGGUAGGGUAAUGGCCUACCAAGGCGACGAUCAGUAUCUGGUUUGAGAGGACGAUCAGACACACUGGAACUGAGACACGGUCCAG